AGCAUGAGGGAGGUGAAACAGCACAACCUGCUGUGUGGAAUAGCACACUGCGCCUAGAGAUGACUCAGAUGUGAUGGAUGAGCCGGUAAGCAUUUACAGAAAGAGAGGAAAAGAGGCGGAGUGAGGACUGGAAAGGCGUGAGGAAGAGAGAACGGGAGAAAGAUAUUGCUUACAUGUUGACACACUCUGCAGAAAUCAGAGCUGUUGGAUGUGUCAUGUAUGACUGUGUAGCUGAGACAGUAUGAGCUUUCUCUCUCUCUCUCUCUCUCUCUCUCUCUCUCUCUCUCUCUCUCUCUAUCUCUCUCUCUCUCUCUCUCUCUCACACACACAGAGAGGAUUACAGUCCAAGAAGCUCAGUCAUUCUGUUGAACACGGGCGAACUUUCUCUUUCGCUCUCUCUCAUCCCUCUUCAGCCUCUUUCUCUUUCCUUUUCGGUAUUUCUCAGAAGGCAGCGAGGUGCUGGGAUACACGGACGUGCAGGAUAGAUGGCGUAACACUAGAGCCUAAUUAGUGGACUCGAAGCAGGUGCUCUGUCAAAUCGGACAGAAAAGGAUUCUGCAGCAGGACGGCUGACCCGCUGAGCUUCAGAAACGUAACAAGAAGUCGAUCUGUGUUUGGACAGAAGAGUGGAACGCAGCCUUGAACGAAUCGAUUCGGUCCUGCUGAGGUCAUACAAGUCUCCAUCUCUAUCCCUCUUUCUCUUCUCUUUCUACAUCUAUCCUUUUCGGAUACAGAUCUCCCCUCCCACCGCUCUCUGUUUACCACCUGACUACCAUCGCACAGAGACAAAAGACAUGUAGCAUGAAGUGUGGUUCUGUCAGGGCAGUCAGAGGGGAAAACACUAACCCGGGCAAACGGCGGCUUUCCAGGAGUCACGUCAUUCCAGCGCUCACUCAGAGGGAGUGAAAACGGAAAGUGUUUACCCAUCCUUGCUGGAAACCUGGAUGGCUGUGUGGAAAGAGGCACAGAGAGGUUAUAUAAACACCAGCUGAACCAUCCAAGCAGGCUGAAAAGGAGGAAGCAGGAAGCAGCUGAUGCUAUCACUGGUAGUGAUUUUUGAGCAUGUGUCUAUGAAUGCCUUUUUUUUGUUUUUGUGUCACUUCCUGGGAGAGAAUGGAAGAGGAAGUGGAGUGACUGGGUGAUGAUGGGAUGAAGGGAAUGAUGCUUCCAUAUUCCAUUUUAUACAGGCAUACACACACAGACUUAUUUGAAGCGUAGGAAGUACUUGUGUGUGUGUGUGUGUGUGUGUGUGUGUGUGUGUGUGUGUGUGUGUGUGUGUGUUGGGGGAAGGGUUGUGCAUAUUUGUGUUUUCUCAAACUUCUCUGAUUUACCACUGAAAUACUGCCCUCUUGUGUUUACACACAGAACUGCACACCAGCUUUUUUAUACAAAAGUUGUGUCACCAAAUAAUUAUUUCUAGAUAUCGAUUGCAUUUACUUUGUAGUUGCUCAGUAUUUUAUAAUACUUGAUUAUAAUACCUAUUAUUAUGAUUCACUUAGAGUGAUUUGAGGUCAGAGUUGGAGUGAAACUGAGGGUGGCACAACAUAUUUCAGUGCCAAACCUGUGGUCACAAACAAUCAACAGAUUUAAUCAUGCAUUUGUUUGACAGUUUAAACCAGGGGAGACAACACCUAUGGUACACCCAUAGGAGGAUGAGUCGAAAAUAACUCUCCUCGUGACAGAAUCUUAUUUAUCUACUGAUUAUUUACCCAGAAGUUACUAAUUUAUCCACCAGAAGUGUAUUCUUUAUGUAAUGUGGCAUCGUUCCACAAUCUCAAUAGAGCAUGCAGUCACAAAUGAAAUCAUCCCAGGACUCAUCAAGCUUUCAACACACUUAGUACUGUUUGUUUUGACUCUUCUCUGUCUGUAUAUUGUAAGGAUUUAUAAUCUGAAGUCAGCCUAGAAGAGAACGGGCGGCUUUUUUGAGUCUGCUUUCUCUCAAGGUUUUUUCCCUUCGUGUUUUGUCAGUUGAGUUUUUCUUGCCACUGUCCUUCCCUCUGGUUUGCUCAUUAGGAUCUAAAUCUACACCGUACAUUUGUCAAUG